rnacentral:rRNA from 1 species
AAUUUGUAGAGGAUACUUUUGAUGCGGUGCCUUCCGAGUUCCCUGGAACGGGACGCCAUAGAGGGUGAGAGCCCCGUCUGGUUGGAUGCCAAAUCUCUGUAAAGUUCCUUCGACGAGUCGAGUAGUUUGGGAAUGCUGCUCUAAAUGGGAGGUAUAUGUCUUCUAAAGCUAAAUACCGGCCAGAGACCGAUAGCGCACAAGUAGAGUGAUCGAAAGAUGAAAAGCACUUUGAAAAGAGAGUUAAAAAGUACGUGAAAUUGUUGAAAGGGAAGCGUUUAUGACCAGACUUGGGCUUGGUUAAUCAUCUGGGGUUCUCCCCAGUGCACUUUUCCAGUCCAGGCCAGCAUCAGUUUUCCCCGGGGGAUAAAGACUUCGGGAAUGUGGCUCUCUUCGGGGAGUGUUAUAGCCCGUUGUGUAAUACCCUGGGGGGGACUGAGGUUCGCGCAUCUGCAAGGAUGCUGGCGUAAUGGUCAUCAACGACCCGUCUUGA